GGCCUUGUAGCGCAGCUGGUAGAAUGUGCGCUGUACAAAACCGUAGGUGGAGUCCAUUCGUGGGUUCGAAUCCUACCGAGGCUA
rnacentral:tRNA from 1 species